UACGUAGGGUGCUAGCGUUGUCCGGAUUUAUUGGGCGUAAAGAGCUCGUAGGUGGCGGGUCACGUCGGGUGUGAAAGCCCGGGGCUUAACUCCGGGUCUGCAUUCGAUACGGGUCUGCUGGGGUCCGGCAGGGGAGACUGGAAUUCCUGGUGUAGCGGUGAAAUGCGCAGAUAUCAGGAGGAACACCGGUGGCGAAGGCGGGUCUCUGGGCCGGUACCGACGCUGAAGAGCGAAAGCGUGGGGAGCGAACAGG
rnacentral:rRNA from 1 species